AACUAUAUCAAGUAUCCCCUUUCAGAAGGAAUUAUUAAUGCGUUCUAAUAUCUUCAUCGAGUUUAGCAACUUGGAACUCUGUCUAAAUAUGACGACUAACAACAAACAUAAGUUUUUGAUCGGAAUUCUAUGCAUAUUUCUGGUCUUGGGAUUGGUUGGAAUGGCAGAGGCCUGCUACAAUUAUGGUUGGAGGGGCUGUAUCGGCGGAUGUGAGGGAACACUGAAAUGCAUUGAAGUCGGAGGAUUUCCGUUCACUACCUGCAGAUGUGUCCGCGUCUAAUGGUCGGUUUUUCCUGAGAGUAGUUUGUACUUCCAUUUAUAAAUAUUUGUACUUAUAAUUGUUUGUAAAUGACAAUGUGCAAUAUCAAGUGGUGUGACGGGAUUAAUUUUUUUAACGACACUAUUCGCCACAUAAAAUUAUGCGACGUACAUUCAAAAAAAUACCAAAAAAUUCCAUUAUGAAGAAAAAAUCAAAUAUGCUUGAAUCUAAAAUUAGUUUGAAACUAACAAAACCUGCAAAAUACCCGGGUACCUAUUUACAGUCAAGAAAACGCAGGAACUGAAUUGUUUUCCACAAAUUACAAUAUUGUCACUCCUUGCCCAUCAUUUAGUAAAUACUUAAUUGUCCAUUCACACUAUAUAACUAUUGAAUAGAAAAUAAAUCAGUCCACUAUCUGUAAGCAGACUUUGCUUUUAAGCA